CACGUAGGGCGCAAGCGUUGUCCGGAUUUAUUGGGCGUAAAGCGCGUGUAGGCGGCCAGAUAGGUCUGCUGUGAAAACUCGAGGCUCAACCUCGAGCUAUCGGCGGAAACCAUCUGGCUAGAGUCCGGAAGAGGAGAGUGGAAUUCCUGGUGUAGCGGUGAAAUGCGCAGAUAUCAGGAAGAACACCAAUGGCGAAGGCAGCUCUCGUGGGACGGUACUGACGCUGAGACGCGAAAGCGUGGGGAGCGAACAGG
rnacentral:rRNA from 1 species